UACAGUAUAUACAAUGUAAAAAGUGGGGUGUUUACAGAGUGUAAUUCCCUAAAAUAAUCUUAGGUAUUGCACUGUAAUACCUACAACUUUUACAGUGACUAUUCUGUAAAUUACACAUAAAAAAUUACAUUGAAAUCAAACUGAAAAAGCACACUGCAGGAAUGACAACAAUGAAGUAGGCACAAAGACAACAUUUUAGACACAUCAGAGAAAAUUCACUGAGUAAAUAAGUAGAAAUUGCAGUGCAAACACCAAGGAAUGACAACAAUGAAAAAUCACAGGAAAUUACAAUGUGAACACCAAGGAUUUACAGUGACUAAAGCUCUGGAAUUACAGUAUACAUUCUAAGGAAUUACUCUGAAAGUAAAGCACAGUGAAGGACCACAUGAAUUAUAGUGCUUCACAAGGAAAAUUUACAGUCUAAAUACACAUGAAUUACUAUAAAAUAAGUACAGCAAAAUACAAUCUAAGAACGCAGAAAUUAACCAGAAGCAAAUCAGGGCAUUCUGGCAAAUUACAGUAAGCACCUUGUGGGAACAUGUAUUGACAAUGUCACAAGAGUUUCUUGUUCAUAUUAUUGCAAAUAUUGACAUUUACUUUUUCAAAAUUGCAGAUGGGAAGCAAGCAAAGAACAAUAACUGAACUUGAUAUACUCACAAUGACACAAGAACUCGUUCUAAAUGUGAGAUAAAAUAGCAAAUAAUGAUCUCAGAAACUUGAAGAAAAAUGCUAUGUACAUAAUAAUGAAAAGUUGGCAAUCUAUUUACUGCUCCCCUACAAUACAGUACAUACAUUUUCAUUUACUGCUCCCCUACAAUCUGACAUUAUAUACAACGCAAAAGACCUAGUUAUCUACAUGAUGGAACUAGCAAAAGCAAAGCGUGAAGAAAUCAAAACUACAAUACAGUACAUACAUUACAGCAAACCCAGCUCUAUGACUUCAUGAGCACAUAUAUAAUACAAAAAAAACAGGGGAGGAAAUACUCUGAUAAUUACAUUUAAUUUGCAGAGGAAAAGCACUGAAAUUCCAUGAGAUGUGCAAACAAACAAUAAGAUACAUAAGCAAAAAAGAUUAAUUAUGGCCUAAAUACAGAACUACGACACUGGGAAACUGCAGUGCAACAGUAAAGAGAGGAACAGACUAAAGCCAUCAGAGAGUUUAGUAUAACAAUGGGGGCUGACAACAUUCCUUCUUCAAGCACAUGAUAAUUUCCUCUUCAAUGAUUCACUUUAUGCAAAAACAAAAAAAGACAAGGGUCAAUCCAAACAAAGAUCAUAAAAAACACAAUCAACUACUUCAAGAAAAAGAACACACAUGAUUCAUAUAUAACUUGAAUAGAGCGUUGUCAAAGCCUCCAUUAUCACCAAGAAGUCCCUGAAAAAAGUCAACAGACCCAAAUUAAAAAUCUGAAAUAGAGAAGAAAGAAGAAAAUAAAUACUAAAGAAGAAGAAACAACUAAGUACCAAUGACAUAGCAUUAGAACCAUCGUGCGCGAAGUCAUUAAGCACAAACGGAACAUUCAAAGAAUAUGCACUCUCAAUAGAUGAUACUAAUGGAAUGUCCUGGUGAGGGACUUUCCGUAGCCUACCCAUUAGAAUAAAAAGCAAAACAAAUCAUAAAAAAAAUGAGAAACAUAUCCGAGAGCUAGCUCUAAACACAUGAAUAUGGCAUAGGAAUGUAGCUCAAAAAUUGCGGAGAAUGAAAUAAAAUUACAGAGAAAUGCAGCUGAAAUUUACAAUCAAAUUACAGUGAAAAACUAGGGAAUUACAGUGUAAAUCUCAGUCAAAUUACAGAGUAAAUCUGACGCAAAUUCCAAUGUAAAUCUCGAUCAAAUUACAGUGUAAUAUCUGGGACAUAUCACAAUGCAAAUCUGGGGAAUUACAGUGUAAAACUCAGUCAAAUUACAUAGUAAAUCUGAGGCAAAUUCAGUGGAAAUCUCAGUCAAACUACAGUGUAAUAUGUGCGACAUAUUACAGUGCAAAUAUGGGGAAUUACAGUGAGCGCAGUCAACUUACAUAGUAAAUCUAGGCAAAUUCCAGUGUAAAUCUCGGUCAAAUUACAGUGUAAUAUCUGAGACAUAUUACAGUGCAAAUCUAGGGGAUUACAUUGUAAAUUUUGGUCAAAUUACAGAGUAAAAGUAGCUGAAAUAUACACAGAAAACGGAGGGCAUAUAACAGUGUAAAAUCUAGGGGAUUGCAGUGUAAAUCUCGGUCAAAUUACGGAGUAAAAGAAGCUGAAACAUACAUAGUAAAUCUACGGCAUAUUGCAGUGUAAAUCUAGGGGAUUACAGUGCAAAUCUCGGGCAUAUUAUAGUGUAAAAGAAGCUCACAUUUACAAAGAAACUCUGGCAUACUACAGUGCAUAUCUGGGACAUACUAGGCAUAUUACACUGCCUACCUAAUAUUUGGAGAUUAAAAGGCUACACUGGAUAUACCACACUGCAAAAUCUAACACUAAAAAACAGAACAAAUUACAGUGCUACUACACAUGGAAUUACAAAGUAAAUGCCGAGGAAUUACAAUGAUAGUGCACAGAGAAAUACAUGGGAUUACCCUUGAGACUACACUGCUCACUCUGCAAACAUCUCACACGGGAAUAAGCACUGGAAAAGCCUAACACAGGGAAACAAUUAAUACUACCAAAAUACAAACAACUACAACCAAAAUCAGGAGGGUUGGAGUAGAACUGCCAUGAACCAACCAGACCAAGAAAAUAUAGAGCCUACCUAUCCAGCAGAAAUUACUGAACCCUAACCACAAGAACAACCCUCUGAUGACACCUACCACCGCCUAUAACCGAUGGGAUCAAAACAUGGAGACCUAAAACCUAACAGCGGAACCACAACCCAGAACAACAGACUAAUUCAUACAUCUACAAAAAAAGCAGAGGAGGAACCAACGGAAUCUACACAUACCCCGCGAAGCUGAACAAAUAGCUGCGUCUACAAGAGCUUUCCACAACAACACCCUGGAACCUACACACACCAGGAAGCCAAGCAAAAACAGAGUUAGAUCUAGAAGCUAAGGGGCAAAAACAUGCGAAAUCACACAGGGGGAGGGGGAGAUGAGAACAACGAACCAUGGCAACCGUGAAUCAAAGAGAAAAUUAAGCUCCAGCAGGGGGAAAGGGGACGGAAUCGCCUCCUCUUCUCCACCGCUCUACGUCUAGCUCUCUCUCUAUCAAAUCGAAAACUAUCGAACACUACCGCCCAAAUGAAAUGGGCAAGGGAAAUACGCAGAAAAAACCAGACAGAAAACCACACCUGGCGAGCGGCGGAAAAACGGGCUGGAGCCAAACGAAACGUGCGCCCGAUAAGAAAAACAGAC
rnacentral:lncRNA from 1 species